rfam:Photobacterium profundum SS9
CGUGUGGUGCCCGGCUUUGGAUCGGGAGAGCGACGCGGCCUUAUACUUGAGGU